rnacentral:rRNA from 1 species
UACGUAGGUGGCGAGCGUUAUCCGGAAUGAUUGGGCGUAAAGGGUGCGCAGGCGGUCCUGCAAGUCUGGAGUGAAACGUAUGAGCUCAACUCAUGCAUGGCUCUGGAAACUGGAGGACUGGAGAGCAGGAGAGGGCGGUGGAACUCCAUGUGUAGCGGUAAAAUGCGUAGAUAUCAGGAGGAACAUCGGUGGCGUAAGCGCUUUACUGGGCCGUAAUUGACGCUGAGGAACGAAAGCCAGGGUAGCAAAUGGG